rnacentral:lncRNA from 1 species
CUCUGCCUCCUCAAGCUGGAAUUAUUGGUGUGCUGUUGUGUUACCUGGAAUUUACAUGAGUUCUGGAUUCCAAAUUGUAGAUUUCUUGCUUCGGGAACAAGAGCUUUAAUUGCUGAGCCAUCUCUUCAGCCCAAGAAAGAAAUCAGAUGUGGUAGUUAUGAAAAUAGCUUUUCGGAUUUCCUGCUAAGAUGAUGAGAAAUACCAACAUUGGAAAACAGCAAACUCCCAUCAUACCAGCACACCAGGGGCUGUCAAGGCUGCUGACAAAUACUGACUUGACAACAAAUUUUAAGAAUGACUUCUGUGCAAGAAAAUGCAGAGUGUCUUAAAAUCUUGCACCUUAUAAUAAAGCAAAUAUGGU